CCCUUAGAUGUUCUGGGCUGCACGCGCGCUACACUGAACAGUUCAACAAGUCUUAACCUUGGCCGAUAGGUCUGGGUAAUCUUUGAACGCUGUUCGUGAUUGGGAUAGACCUUUGCAAUUAUGGGUCUUCAACGAGGAAUUCCUAGUAAACGCAAGUCAUCAACUUGCAUUGAUUACGUCCCUGCCCUUUGUACACACCGCCCGUCGCACCUACCGAUUGAAUGGUCCGGUGAAGCCUCCGGAUUGGCGCGCACCUCGGUGCCGCCGAGAAGUUGGCUAAACCUUACCAUUUAGAGGAAGGUGAAGUCGUAACA
rnacentral:rRNA from 1 species